rnacentral:rRNA from 1 species
AUUAGCUAGUUGGUGGGGUAAUGGCUCACCAAGUCGACGAUCCGUAACUGGUCUGAGAGGAUGAUCAGUCACACCGGAACUGAGACACGGUCCAGACUCCUACGGGAGGCAGCAGUGGGGAAUAUUGGACAAUGGGCGCAAGCCUGAUCCAGCCAUGCCGCGUGAGUGAUGAAGGCCUUAGGGUUGUAAAGCUCUUUUACCCGGGAUGAUAAUGACAGUACCGGGAGAAUAAGCUCCGGCUAACUCCGUGCCAGCAGCCGCGGUAAUACGGAGGGAGCUAGCGUUGUUCGGAAUUACUGGGCGUAAAGCGCACGUAGGCGG